UACGUAGGGGGCUAGCGUUGUCCGGAAUCAUUGGGCGUAAAGAGCGCGUAGGCGGCCAGAUAAGUCCGGUGUAAAAGUCACAGGCUCAACCUGUGAAUGCCGCUGGAAACUGUCUGGCUUGAGUCCGGAAGAGGCGAGUGGAAUUCCUGGUGUAGCGGUGGAAUACGCAGAUAUCAGGAGGAACACCGGUGGCGAAGGCGGUUCUCUGGGCCUGUACUGACGCUGAGGAGCGAAAGCGUGGGGAGCGAACAGG
rnacentral:rRNA from 1 species